CCCUUAGAUGUCCUGGGCCGCACGCGCGCUACACUGACAUGUUCAACAAGCCUCCUAGUUCGACAGGAUUUGGGAAAUCUUUGAACGCAUGUCGUGAUAGGGAUAGAUCAUUGCAAUUAUUGAUCUUGAACGAGGAAUUCCUAGUAAACGCGAGUCAUCAGCUCGCAUUGAUUACGUCCCUGCCCUUUGUACACACCGCCCGUCGCACCCACCGAUUGAAUGUUUCGGUGAAGAUUCCGGAUAGGACUUUUUUGAUUUAUUUCAAUUUUGUCUUAAAAGCUAUCUAAACCUCAACAUUUAGAGGAAGGUGAAGUCGUAACA
rnacentral:rRNA from 1 species